GAUUUUUUUUAACGAGAAGAGUCUAAAAUUAUAAAAAAAUUAUUUAUUUUAAAAAAAGAUUACUUAAGACGAAAAGAAAUCACUUUUAGAUAAUUUUUUGAUCAAAAAUAUUUUUUUUCCGUCAUUAGUGGUCGUUUUUUCUUUCUGAAUUGAAUAAAAAAAUUCGGACUCUUCUCGGCAAAAAAAAUAAAAAAAAUAUAAAAUUUUAAUUAAACGAUGAAAACAACUUAUUCUAAACCUUCACGAAACUUUCUCUCUCUAAUAAAAAUUGAUAGACAGCCUCCCCCAGCUUCAAAAUAUGAAAAAAAUACAGGAUAAUUACAAUUAUCUCCUAUGAAGUACUUGAUUAAAAGAAUUCACCUAAGAUUUUGGAAAUGAUAAAAACAUCCCAUUGUCAAAGGUUUGUCAAAUGGAUUAUAGAACGAACAAAAUGUCCCCACAAAAAUACGUCCAAAUGGGCAUUCCAAAAAUAAGAAUAAUACUACAAACUGACCGUUGGAUUAGGUUUUUUUAUAUAUAUUUUUUAGUUGCUGUGUUUUUGAGUUUUUUUUAAAAAAGAUUAAAAUUUAAAAUAAAUAUUUCAGAUUUAUUUGAGUGUGUGAAUCUCACGUAAUUAAAUGAAUUUAAAUAAUUUAUUUUAAAUUUUAAAAUAUUUUUGGAAUUUAAAUUCUGAUUCCAUAAAAGUAAUGCUCAAAUUCUUUAACCGAUCCAUUAAAAGUUUAUUAUUUUUUAUCAAAAUCUCAAAAAAAUCAAGAUUAUAUAAUGUUUUUUUGGUUAAAAAAAUGAAAGAGUAAAAAGCCGCCUCCCUCUUUAAUUGAUUGUUCCUUCCCAAUUCAUCAAAAUCACCACCACCACCACACUUUAAAACCAAAACCCAACACACUUUCCUCUCUCUCUCUCUCUCUCUCUCUCUCUCAAAUUCCUCCCAUGGCCAAUUUCAGAUCCAAGUCAUGUAGGGAUGGGAAGAACAUGCAAUUAGAGACCUACUAUGGUGGUGGUGGUGGAGGCAGGGUAGGUCCCACAAACAUGAAUGAUCUAAGAAGUUAUAGCACUUCUCAUGCCUCCUCCUAUGCCCAACCACCACCAACUCAAAUUCAAUUGGGCAAUGAAUUGAAGAUCAAGAAAGGGAAAAAAAGCACUAGUGUUAAUGGGUCAGCUUCCAAAAAUUGGGGACUCAAUUUGAAUGACCCUGAAUUGCAGAGAAAGAAGAGGGUUGCUAGCUACAAGGCCUAUGCUGUAGAGGGCAAGAUGAAGGGCUCUUUCAGGAAGAGCUGUAGGUGGAUCAAAGACACGUAUACCCAUGUGGUCUAUGGUUGGUGGUGAUCAAAUUUUUUUUUGGGGGGUGUUAUUAGUUUUAUUUUAUAUUUAUGUUUUAUUUUUCUUUAUCAUGGGUUGUGAAAUUCUCUGUUUCUGGCUUUUUCAAGCCCUAUAUAUAAGAUAUAAUUUUAUGGUUUUGGUCUUCCAUGAAUUGGGUUUGUGGAUUGAUUUGUAGUAGUUUUUCAUGGGUUUGGAGGAAUUUUCUUAUUUAGGAAAUAUUGGAUCCAUAUGCUUGAAAUUCAAAGGGCCACUUUAAUUUUUUUUGGAAACUAGAGAACUUUAUUGAUAAAACCAAAUACGUUCAGAGAAAAAUUGAAGAUAAGAAGUCAUUAUUUUAAUAUUUUUAAAGAAUAAUUUAAAAGUUUUGAUAAACAUCUACAUAGUUUCUGUUUGUGGGUAUGUUUUAGGUUGGAAAUUUAUAACUUCUAGUUGUUGUUUCUGUCCACUAAAGGUUGUUUCCUAACCUCUAGUUCUUGACAUUUUAAUGGUUGUUUUUGAAUUAAGAAUUUAAGAAAGAAAAAAGAGAAGCAAAAGAAAAGGUUGACGA
rnacentral:lncRNA from 1 species